rnacentral:rRNA from 1 species
UACGAAGGGGGCUAGCGUUGUUCGGAAUCACUGGGCGUAAAGGGCGCGCAGGCGGCUACGCACGUCCGUUGUGAAAUCGCUCGGCUCAACUGGGCGGGUCAGCGGAUACGGCGUAGCUGGAGCAAGCUAGGGGGCAAUGGAAUUCCCAGUGUAGAGGUGAAAUUCGUAGAUAUUGGGAAGAACACCGGUGGCGAAGGCGGCUAUCUGGACCGACACUGACGCUGAGGCGCGAAAGCUAGGGUAGCAAACGGG